GGGGAAUUUUCCGCAAUGGGCGAAAGCCUGACGGAGCAAUACCGCGUGAGGGAGGAAGGCUCUUGGGUUGUAAACCUCUUUUCUCAGGGAAUAAGAACUGAAGGUACCUGAGGAAUCAGCAUCGGCUAACUCCGUGCCAGCAGCCGCGGUAAUACGGAGGAUGCAAGCGUUAUCCGGAAUGAUUGGGCGUAAAGCGUCCGCAGGUGGUUUAUCAAGUCUGCUGUCAAAGAGUUUGGCUCAACCAAAUAAAGGCAGUGGAAACUGACAGACUGGAGUGCGGUAAGGGCAGAGGGAAUUCCUGGUGUAGCGGUGAAAUGCGUACAGAUCAGGAANAACACCGGUGGCGAAAGCGCUCUGCUGGGCCGUAACUGACACUGAGGGACGAAAGCUAGGGGAGCGAAUGGGAUUANAUACCCCANUAGUCA
rnacentral:rRNA from 1 species